UCAGCGGGUAGCCCUGCCUAAUUCGAGAUCUAGCAUAGAAUCCCGCCGUGCAUCGGCGGCGGCGGCCUCCCCCUAGGGCGCAUCCGGCCCCCCCGAGGCAGCACGCCGACUGCGCAUGCCUUUGGGGCAUGUCGGCGGCAGCGCGCGACAAGCCCAACGCAGAGCCAGCGCUCUCGGACAGCAAAUGAUGCUCGAAUAGGCAUGCCUGCUAGCGAGCUAGCAGGCGCAAUAUGCGUUCAAAGAUUCGAUGGUUCACGGAGUUCUGCAAUUCACACUACAUAUCGCAGUUUGCUACGUUCUUCAUCGAUGCUAGAGCCU
rnacentral:misc_RNA from 1 species